GACGAACGCUGGCGGCGUGCUUAACACAUGCAAGUUGAACGGAAAGGCCCUGCUUUUGUGGGGUGCUCGAGUGGCGAACGGGUGAGUAACACGUGAGUAACCUGCCCUUGACUUUGGGAUAACUUCAGGAAACUGGGGCUAAUACCGGAUAGGAGCUCCUGCUGCAUGGUGGGGGUUGGAAAGUUUCGGCGGUUGGGGAUGGACUCGCGGCUUAUCAGCUUGUUGGUGGGGUAGUGGCUUACCAAGGCUUUGACGGGUAGCCGGCCUGAGAGGGUGACCGGCCACAUUGGGACUGAGAUACGGCCCAGACUCCUACGGGAGGCAGCAGUGGGGAAUAUUGCACAAUGGGCGGAAGCCUGAUGCAGCAACGCCGCGUGCGGGAUGAAGGCCUUCGGGUUGUAAACCGCUUUCGCCUGUGACGAAGCGUGAGUGACGGUAAUGGGUAAAGAAGCACCGGCUAACUACGUG
rnacentral:rRNA from 1 species